rnacentral:rRNA from 1 species
AUUGAACGCUGGCGGCAGGCCUAACACAUGCAAGUCGAACGAGUGGCGGACGGGUGAGUAAUGUCUGGGAACCUGCCUGAUGGAGGGGGAUAACUACUGGAAACGGUAGCUACUACCGCAUACCAUCAGAUCUGCCCAGAGUGGAUGAGCUAUCUGGUGGGGUAACGGCCCACCAAGGCGACGACCCCUAGCUGGUCUGGGAGGAUGACAGGCCACACUGGAACUGAGACACGGUGCAGAAUCAUACGGGAGGCAGCAGUGGGGAAUAUUGCACAAGGGGCGCAAGCCUGAUGCAGCCAUGCAGCGUGUAUGAAGAAGGCCUUCGGGUUGUAAAGUAAGUUCAGCGGGGAGGCGUUACCCACAGAAGAAGCAACGGCUAACUCCGUGCCAGCAGCCGCGGUAAUAC